rfam:Oryzias latipes DNA, chromosome9, strain: Hd-rR.
UCACGGGGAACAUUCAACGCUGUCGGUGAGUUUGUGCUACGAUCAAAACCAUCGACCGUUGACUGUACCCUGAGA